rnacentral:rRNA from 1 species
UACGUAGGGGGCAAGCGUUGUCCGGAUUUAUUGGGCGUAAAGAGCGUGUAGGCGGCCUGGAAGGUCAGCUGUGAAAACUCGAGGCUCAACCUCGAGACGUCGGUUGAAACCACCUGGCUAGAGUCCGGAAGAGGAGAGUGGAAUUCCCGGUGUAGCGGUGAAAUGCGCAGAUAUCGGGAAGAACACCCGUGGCGAAGGCGGCUCUCUGGGACGGUACUGACGCUGAGACGCGAAAGCGUGGGUAGCGAACAGG